UGAUAAUAAUAAUAAUAAUAAUGAUAAUGAUAAUUAUACGCAUAAGAAUCAUGCAUGCACAGAAUAAUCAUAUACAUCAUCAUCAUCAACAUGAAACGAUAUCAUAAUCAAAAUAUUCAUAUUCACAAUAUCAUGCAUUUUAAGCAGUGUCAUAGUCAUUGAUAAUAUACAUCAACAUAAUGUUAGAAAUAAUUAAACAAUAGAUAAUGUAAGUAUACAUACAUAAAUGCUAUUCAUUGUACAUCAGAGAAGAAACAUCACACAAUAAUUAACGUGAUAUAUAACAGUGUUUUAUUUACUGGUGUAUGGUACGUCUACAUAGAUUAUAAUUGUAAGUGUUUAUAGAGUCGAUGCGGAUCAUUCCGUUUAAUAGCCUCAUAAGCGGACUAGAGUAAAACACAGGUGACGUCACUGCACUACUGCUGUAUUUAACACACGGGUAUUUGCGACCUAGUUUGAGCCUGUGUACAGUUAAAAGUUAUGGAUCACCUCGUGUGAAUAUUAUCGGUUUAGACAGACGCGUGUUUUUAACAGAUGUCGGUACACAAUUAAUUGGAUAUCACCCGCGACUUGAGGUUGCAUAGGCGAUCAUGGAAUGGGAUGCCUUCAUAGCGGCCAGUUACUACAGGGAGGAGGUGGUUGGCAGUACGGAAUUUAAAGAUACUUUGGGACUCAUCGGGAUGAAUUUUAAUCAGGUCAGAGGCACUUCUUGAGACAAUGACGGUGUCAUCAGCAUACAAUAGGACCAGAAGCUUAAGCGACUAUAUUGCAGUAUCUAGGUUGAUAAGUUCAACCCCAACAGAUCCAUUUAUAUGCAGGU